CGUCACAAACGAGCGAGCCAGAGCAGCACCGUUUGCAGAGCGGAAAAAUCUUCGGAUCAUUUUAAAAGAUUUUGGGACAAAUUUCGGGAUGAAUUUAACACAAGUUUUUGGAGGGUCUGUGGCUGUUCAAUUGGAAGGUACUGUGACAUCACGAGAAGUGAGUUUGAGGCUGAUCCAAAUGCCUGUGGUCCUCCACGCACCCCAGUGACGUAUGACACAACUGUUGCUGAUCUCCAGGCUGAAAACAUACAAGAUGUCAGAGGAAUAAAGCGCAAAUAUGAGUGACUCAGAGCGAACCUUCCUAGAUGCUGCCAUCAUGGAAGCCCUACCAGAACUUCAAGCAGUAAACAAAAACAUCCUGGAAGAGCACUUGCAGUCCAUUGGAGUCGAGACGUAUGAUGAUCUACGCUUCGUAAAGGAGGCUGAUUUGAUGACAGUAUUAAGACCUGUACAAGCCAGAAAGCUUCUUUCUGUUUGUAAACAGAAAUUUCAUCGUCUGCCUCCUCCAGCAGCCCAGGACUUCACACACAGUGGGAUGACUUUGAAAUUCCAUGGAGUAAAUUUCCUGAGGAAGUGAUGCAUUCUUGGAGAGAGGGAAAAGGCCAGGCCCAAAACUGAAGAGGCAAAUGGUCCGGAUUGUUGUGACUGAGAUAAUGGAAAAAAUGCCCUCAUGUUGGGAAAAAGCAUUCAACUGACGUUGCAAAAAAAUGGUGGCAAAAUAUCCCAGUUCUCUGCAAGAUGUAAUAGAGAGCGAUAUUGUUGGAACAGGCUACCAUUCCCUUGUCAAACAGUUGAAAAACAGAAUAGAAAGCGUGAGGCAAGUGGCGUUAAGGCUAAAUAUGGACUCUUUCUGUGCAGUCGGACUGUUUGUUUGAGAAGAGGUACUGUUAGUUUUUGCUUUGUUCAAUCCACAAGGUUUAUUAUGGUAAUUAAGGCACAACAUGUAAUUUUUGUUUUAAAGUCUUAAAGGUGUUACUUUUUCUGGUAGAGGGUCUGCCACCUGCUUGUUUCAUGAAGAUGUUCGUGCUUUGCAGGAAUGUUCCACAGUAUGGUAUAAAACGUACCUAUCUUGCAUUUAUUUAAUUAGGAUUGUUUUUAUUGCUAAAAAAUACCUUAACAAGCAUUCUUACUUUGAGGGGGCUCGCCUCUCCACAGAUCUGACCUUGGCCUGUUGGCAUCACCUGAUUUUCUCCAUAGAGAUAGAUAAAUUACAUGGUAACAUCUAAGCAUGUAAACAAAAUUUUUGGUUGUUGUUGUGCGCCUAACACAUGUAGCUUGUUUACAUGUUGUAAAAAAAUGCAUA